GACGAACGCUGGCGGCGUGCCUAAUACAUGCAAGUUGAGCGAUGAAGAUUGGUGCUUGCACCAAUUUGAAGAGCAGCGAACGGGUGAGUAACGCGUGGGGAAUCUUCCUUUGAGCGGGGGACAACAUUUGGAAACGAAUGCUAAUACCGCAUAAUAACUUUAAACAUAAGUUUUAAGUUUGAAAGAUGCAAUUGCAUCACUCAAAGAUGAUCCCGCGUUGUAUUAGCUAGUUGGUGAGGUAAAGGCUCACCAAGGCGAUGAUACAUAGCCGACCUGAGAGGGUGAUCGGCCACAUUGGGACUGAGACACGGCCCAAACUCCUACGGGAGGCAGCAGUAGGGAAUCUUCGGCAAUGGACGAAAGUCUGACCGAGCAACGCCGCGUGAGUGAAGAAGGUUUUCGGAUCGUAAAACUCGGUUGGUAGAGAAGAACGUUGGUGAGAGUGGAAAGCUCAUCAAGUGACGGUAACUACCCAGAAAGGGACGGCUAACUACGUG
rnacentral:rRNA from 1 species